rnacentral:rRNA from 1 species
GACGAACGCUGGCGGCGUGCUUAACACAUGCAAGUCGAACGGAAAGGCCCUGCUUUUGUGGGGUGCUCGAGUGGCGAACGGGUGAGUAACACGUGAGUAACCUGCCCUUGACUUUGGGAUAACUUCAGGAAACUGGGGCUAAUACCGGAUAGGAGCUCCUGCUGCAUGGUGGGGGUUGGAAAGUUUCGGCGGUUGGGGAUGGACUCGCGGCUCAUCAGCUUGUUGGUGGGGUAGUGGCUUACCAAGGCUUUGACGGGUAGCCGGCCUGAGAGGGUGACCGGCCACAUUGGGACUGAGAUACGGCCCAGACUCCUACGGGAGGCAGCAGUGGGGAAUAUUGCACAAUGGGCGAAAGCCUGAUGCAGCCACGCCGCGUGCGGGAUGACGGCCUUCGGGUUGUAAACCGCUUUCGCCUGUGACGAAGCGUGAGUGACGGUAAUGGGUAAAGAAGCACCGGCUAACUACGUG